rnacentral:rRNA from 1 species
CCGUGGGUAGAUCAAAUUAUUUUGCACAUGCAGUCGAGCGGAUAGCACAGGGGAGCUUGCUCCCUGGGUGACGAGCGGCGGACGGGUGAGUAAUGUCUGGGAAACUGCCUGAUGGAGGGGGAUAACUACUGGAAACGGUAGCUAAUACCGCAUAACGUCGCAAGACCAAAGAGGGGGACCUUCGGGCCUCUUGCCAUCAGAUGUGCCCAGAUGGGAUUAGCUAGUAGGUGGGGUAAUGGCUCACCUAGGCGACGAUCCCUAGCUGGUCUGAGAGGAUGACCAGCCACACUGGAACUGAGACACGGUCCAGACUCCUACGGGAGGCAGCAGUGGGGAAUAUUGCACAAUGGGCGCAAGCCUGAUGCAGCCAUGCCGCGUGUGUGAAGAAGGCCUUCGGGUUGUAAAGCACUUUCAGCGAGGAGGAAGGUGGUGAACUUAAUACGUUCAUCAAUUGACGUUACUCGCAGAAAGAAGCACCGGCUAACUCCGUGCCAGCAGCCGCGGUAAUACGGAGGGUGCAAGCGUUAAUCGGAAUUACUGGGCGUAAAGCGCACGCAGGCGGUUUGUUAAGUCAGAUGUGAAAUCCCCGGGCUCAACCUGGGAACUGCAUUUGAAACUGGCAAGCUAAGAGUCUCGUAGAGGGGGGUAGAAUUCCAGGUGUAGCGGUGAAAUGCGUAGAGAUCUGGAGGAAUACCGGUGGCGAAGGCGGCCCCCUGGACGAAGACUGACGCUCAGGUGCGAAAGCGUGGGGGAGCAAACAGGAUUAGAUACCCUGGUAGUCCACGCUGUAAACGAUGUCGAUUUGGAGGUUGUGCUCUUGAGGCGUGCUUCGGAGCUAACGCGUUAAAUCGACCGGCUGGGGAGUACGGCGGCAAGGUAAACUCAAAUGAAUGACGGGGCCCGCACAGCGGUGGAGCAUGUGGUUAAUCGAUGCAUCGCGAAGACCUUACCUACUCUGACAUCAGAGACUUUCAGAGAUGAUGUGCUCGGGACUCUGAGACAGUGCUGCAUGCUGUCGUCAGCUCGGUGUGAAUGUGGUAAGUCCGCAACGAGGCACUAUCUUGUGCAGCGUCGCGGAACUCAAGAAACUGCAGUGUAUAACUUGAGAGUGAUGACUCAGUCACUAGCUUACGAAUGGGCUACAUGGUCAUGCUACGGUGCCCCUCGGAACAGCGACCUAAAGCACGCACUGA